AUACGGAGGGUGCAAGCGUUACUCGGAAUCACUGGGCGUAAAGCGCGCGCAGGCGGCUUGAUAAGUUGGAUGUGAAAGCCUACGGCUCAACCGUAGAACUGCAUCCAAAACUGUCAAGCUAGAGUCUGGGAGGGGAAGAUGGAAUUAGUUGUGUAGGGGUAAAAUCCGUAGAGAUAACUAGGAAUACCAAAAGCGAAGGCGAUCUUCUGGAACAGUACUGACGCUGAGGCGCAAAAGCGUGGGGAGCAAACAGGAUUAGAUACCCUAGUAGUCC
rnacentral:rRNA from 1 species